rnacentral:lncRNA from 1 species
AUGGAAUUUCAGUGUCUGGAUUUCUUUAGUUCAACUUUUCCAUUCUUCAGACUUGAGCCAAGUGAGCGAUUUCAAAUUACCCAGCACUUUCCAGAGAUGGAGGUUGAAAGAGAAGAAGGGAAUCUGCCAGGUGGCUGCAUUCUGAAAAACAGGCCUUGUUUUCCUGUCCCGUUUUGCAGCAGUCCUGUGUGUGGGAGAAGUACAACUGGGGGACACCUGAUGAAAAGAGGUGCUGGAACAACUGGCCUUCAGCUCUGCCACCUUCCUUUGGUGCUUGCAAAAAAAAAAAAAAAAAAAAAACCAACAAAAAAGACAAAAAAAUCCAAGCCAAAGGUAGUUUAUGUGCAGCUCAGGAAGCUCUCAGCAAUGAGUGUGUCUGUGAUUUAAUAACACAUCUACCCAAAAUGACACUUCUAAUACUCACUGAGAAAAAGAAGGCAUAGCAGCACACAAGGCACUGCUAUUGCAGCAACAAACAGCCAAACUACCAGGCAUUUAUUUUUCAAUGUACACAAUUACUGAAGGAGAAUAAAAAUUGUUCUUUGACACUCUGACA